AAUAAUAUUUAUAAUUUCACUUGUGCUCGAGGGGAAGUGGAAGUGUGUUUCUGUUUUGGGAUUCUUCUGCUGUCACCGCCGGGAAAUUGCGGGAAAAUGGAAACUGAAUCUGAAUCCCUAGUUGUCUCAGAAACCAAUCCCAAUCAUCCGCCGGGGCGUCACCGGAAUUUCGAGGUAGAGGAAGAAGGCGGACGAGAAUGGAACGGCGAGUCGAAGGCAAAUGCGACGCCGUUCGAUCAGAAGGAACUUCUGAGGGCCCUCGAGGUCGUCGAGAGGGACUCGACGGCGAUCGCUCAGAGCUUCACCUCUCUCUUCGCUUCUCUCCGCUUGGCUCUCUCCGAGGUAACUGGCAGUUCUGUUAACCAUAUGCAAUGCUUCAAUGAUGCUGCAGGCCAAGUUCAAGAAUGUGCACUUGAUGCAGCAACAAAAGGGAAUCGCUAUAUAAAUUCCUGUCUCAGAUUAAAUGAAGAAAUGAAAGGCAUUGACAGUCUAGCCACUCAACUAAAAAUCUUAAGGAGAAAUGUAGACACAUUGGACUCAGCCGUGAAUAGGCUUCUCCGUCUCCCCUGAUAGUAGUGUCCCGUAUGACAUAAACUUUGUCGAAUGAGAAAGCUUGCUGCUUCAAGUUUCCUUCUAUCUGUACAUUAAAUGACCAAUUCAGAAGUUGCUUAUUGCACGGUGCCACCGUUGAUUCAAUUGCUCGAUGUGAUUGCUCAUGAGGUUGUGUUUCCAACUCUGAUUGCUUGAUUUUCUCUCGUCGUCGAUUGUUCGAUGCUUUUGCUGUCGUUGAUUCAAAUGCUCAAUGCUUAGUUGCUCAGUGUGAUUGCUUGUGAGGUUGCGUUUCCAACUCCAAUUGCUCAAUUCCCUCUCGUUGUCGAUUGCUUUGUAUUAUGUUCGAUUAUUUCUUAAAAUUUAUUGUUUGUUUUUAUUUAUUAAAUCAUGGUAAAUGAUGAUAGAAUUUAUGCUUAUAUUUGUUUGAAUGAAUUGUGGAUCUAUGAUGUUUGAAAACUUCUCGAGGGCGUCGUUUCGAAAAGUUUUUUUUGAAACAUCAAAAACGUUUUUGGGUUGCUUUUGUAAUUUUAAAAUUUUUUUGUUAUCAUUUCGUAAUAUUAG